rnacentral:rRNA from 1 species
UACGGAGGGUGCGAGCGUUGUCCGGAAUCAUUGGGCGUAAAGGGCGCGUAGGUGGCCCGGUCAGUCUUUGGUGAAAGCGCGGGGCUCAACCCUGCGUCGGCCAGGGAUACUGCCGCGGCUCGAGCACUGUAGAGGCAGGCGGAAUUCCGGGUGUAGCGGUGGAAUGCGUAGAGAUCCGGAAGAACACCGGUGGCGAAGGCGGCCUGCUGGGCAGUUAGUGGACACUGAGGCGCGACAGCGUGGGGAGCAAACAGG